rnacentral:tRNA from 1 species
GUUUAUAUAGUUUAACUAAAAACAUUACAUUUUCACUGUAAACAUAAACAAUUUAGUUUUAUAAAUA